rnacentral:misc_RNA from 1 species
AUAGAGAGCUAGCAGGCAGGGUGCUUGGUCGGAUAACCUGCUAGCUCGAGUUGCGGACGGCUGUGGGUUAAUUUUCGAGAAGGCAUGCCUCCUGUGUGAUGUCCAGGUCGAGCAUCACGGCCACGUUGCGUAGGAUCUCGAACCUAGACAAGCGCAACGUGGCUACAGCCGGAUGGUGUCGUUCGUCAUGCGACGACUAAGACAUGUCGUUCGUCAUGCGACGACUAACACAUGUCAUUCGUCAUGCGACGACUAAGACAUCCGGUAUCGACCUCAACCGAAAAUUUAUCCAAGCACCCACCCGGACCCGACGAUGAACAUCGAGACCCUGUCCCAAAGCACCAAAGUGCCAACGAUUUGGAUCAUGACUCCGAUCCCAAACACCGAGGGGCCGACGAUUUGGAUCCUGACCCUGACCCGAAGCGAGAAGGAGCCGACGAUUUGGAUCAACACCCCGAUCCCAAGCACCAAGGAGCCGACGAUUUGGAUCAAAACCUACAUCCCAAGCACCAAGGUGCCUGGUUGAUAUGGUUCACGAUCCCGAUCUGGAGCUCCAGGGCGCCGAGGAUUUCGAUCAAGAUCCCGAUCUGAAGCACCGAGUAGCCGAGGAUAUGGAUCAAGACCCCGGUCCGAAGCGACAAGGAGGCAAGGAUUUGGAUCACCACUCCGAUCAAAGGCACCAAGGCGUCGAGGGAUUGGAUCGAGAUCCCGGUCCCAAUCAUGAAGUAGGCUAUGUUAUUUCCUGUUUUCCACACCGUUCAGGGCAUUUUGGUGGUCGUAUCGGCUUUUUGUUGCUUGCUUGGCGUUAGUGCCAAGGGAGUGGCUGGAAGCUAGGUCGUCUCUGGAAUGCUUGUUGUAAAGGUGUAUGAGUUGUGUUUGGCUUGUUACGGGUGUUUGUUGGCUGCUUGUGCAGGAACUUUCAUGCGUCCAAGCCUCUUCAGUUGUGCUACAAGGCCUUGUUUGUCUUGUGCAUACGGUGGGUUUCCUGUGUUGCAUACCUAAUCAAGGGCAUCGUAUGGCUUGAUCGAAGUAAAUAUUCGUAAUGCGCUGCUUGCGGCGUUGAACGAACCUCGAAGUGGUCUCUGUGGCCCAUGUUGUCCUUGCUCAUGCAUGGAUGGCAUGGCCCUCGGAGCGUCGCUUGGUCUCUUGGAUACGGAACCUGAUGAUGUGGGCGGUAGGGUCUUUGAUGAUUCUACCUUCGCCUUCCAUGAGCGUUCUCGCUUCUCUAAACGACCGUCUGUCAUGCGUCGGCAUGUCCGUGCAUGGUGGGCUUAGUCGAAGAGGAAUGCUAC